UUUCUGGGUACGCCACUGUGCAUAAGGGAUUUGUGGGAUAGCACGUAGGGAUAAGCAAGAGUAGAAAAGUCGAGGGCGGGAGGUAAUGGCCGGAGUUCAUGAUGAAAUUAAUACAUAAACGAAUUACGCUGUACAAUCUACUUGGAACUUGGAACAGAUUAAAUCGGUUGCCAAAUGUAAUCCUGUAAACUUCUCACUCAGCCCACGCUCUUGUUCAGAUAGUAACAAAUACUCCAACGACAGAAAUUCCGACUUUUCCUCCUGGGUUCGCCCCCCCCCCACCCUCACCUGGGAAUUACUAAUGCCCCCGGUCUAAGAGCGACUGCAUGGUCUCGGUGAAGGCUUUGUCUGGGUCCACUGGAAGCGCCGUGACCGUGGUGAGAGUCGGUCUGGAAGUAGGAGUGACUUGGUGACUCAGCUUUUCUCUACCCUGUGUGUUUUUCUUUACAGCAAGGAGGCAGCCGAGGGUAGGAAUAACGAAACGGACAAGAGAGCCGGCAAACCACCGAUCCCAUCAACCUGUUACUGAAGUUGUUGUUGUUCAAAGAUUGCUCCCACGACCCACGUCUGUCGACGAGGACUGUCGUACGUGUCUCUGAGUUGCUGUCAGGAAGAAAAAAAGAAAAAGAAAAGAAAAGAAGAAAAGUUGCUUCCUGGAGACCAUUGCCUUUAAUCUUCGUCUUCCUCGGACUCUUCCUCCUCCGAGCUUGAUGGCUCCUCGCCUAGCGCCCUGCAAGACACACCAGACCCAGUGUCCCCACCACCACCUGCAGUACUCACACGCGCCGCUCUCAAAGCCCAGGCACACCACGCUGGCCUCCCCGUUGCUCUGCUUGUAGGUCCGCGUACAGUCGCCAAACUCUCGCACCCAACACCGAACCGUCGAGUCCGCGCUGCCCGUGUACAUGAGGCGGUUGACCACUUUCACGCAGGUUAUGCCGUCCUUGUGCCCCUCCAGAACCUGAUGGCGCGGUGUGGAUGGAGGAAGAUUGCGGUGAGAAUGUAACCAAAGGACACACGUUAAUUAGUCCCCCGAAAGGCCAGGAUGAAGAGCUCCUCCUUCUGGAUGUAGUACUCCGCCGCCUGCAGGAGCGCGCCCAGAGGUACCAGACCCACCGCCUCGGACCCCAUCACGCCCAGACGAAGCUCCGCGGCGUCCUUCUUGGCCUAAAGGUGGACAAAGUGCGGGUCCCGGCGAGGCAUUGGUCCUUGAGAAUGAAGAAUGUCUACGUAAGUGUACAUUUUUGUUUUACGUUUUUUCCUCCUUUUUUUCCUUUUUCCUUUUUUUCUUUUAUUCGCUCUUUUCUCUUUUUUUCCUAUUUCUAUCUCGAGGGCCCAAAGAGUGUGGCAUCCCUUUAGGCGGCGCGGUGAACACUUUUCAGAGGGACUUUUUAGCUGAUUAACCCGGUAGCAGCGACGGGCCAAAUUUGUGGCUUUACCGUGUAGCAGCGAUGGGCCAAAUUUGUGGCUUUACCGUGUAGCAGCGACGGGCCAAAUUUGUGGCUUUACCGUGUAGCAGCGAUGGGCCAAAUUUGUGGCUUUACCGUGUAGCAGCGAUGGGCCAAAUUUGUGGCUUUACCGUGUAGCAGCGAUGGGCCAAAUUUGUGGCUUUACCGUGUAGCAGCGAUGGGCCAAAUUUGUGGCUUUACCGUGUAGCAGCGACGGGCCAAAUUUGUGGCUUUACCGUGUAGCAGCGAUGGGCCAAAUUUGUGGCUUUACCGUGUAGCAGCGAUGGGCCAAAUUUGUGGCUUUACCGUGUAGCAGCGAUGGGCCAAAUUUGUGGCUUUACCGUGUAGCAGCGAUGGGCCAAAUUUUUGGCUUUACCGUGUAGCAGCGAUGGGCCAAAUUUGUGGCUUUACCGUGUAGCAGCGAUGGGCCAAAUUUGUGGCUUUACCGUGUAG